rnacentral:rRNA from 1 species
UGCGGCCAAGCUACUAAGGGCGUGUGGGGGAUGUCUAGGCGCCAGAAGGCGAAGAAGGGCGUGGAAGACUGCGAAAAGCCCGGAGGAGCUGUCAAACGAGCGUUGAGCCCGGGAUGCCCGAAUUGGCGUGCGCUGAAUCCAUAGGCGUACGUAGCGAACGGGGGGAACUGAAACAUCUCAUUACCCCCAGGAAAAGAAAGCAAAAGCGACUUCCUCAGUAGCGGCGAGCGAAAGGGAAAGAGCCCAAACCGCGGGGACUUGUCUCCGCGGGGUUGUAGGACCGGCAUUUAGAACUGAGUACCUUAGCAGAACUGUCUGGAAAGGCAGGCCAUAGAGGGUGAUAGACCCGUAUGCGACAGGGGAAAGGAACGAGCCGGCACCUGAGUAAGACUCAACACGUGAAAGUGAGUCUGAAUCUACGAGGCCCAUCUCGUAAGGCUAAGUACUCUCUGGCGACCGAUAGCGAACCAAGUAGCGCGAGCGAAAGAUGGGAAGAACCCCGACAAGGGGAGGACACUGAACCUGAAACCACAUGCCUACAAGCGGUCGGAGGGCUAUGCCCCGCAAGGGGAAAGCCUGACGGCGUGCCUUUUGCAUAAUGAUCCGGCGACUUACCGUAACCGGCCAGGUUAAGCUGCUCUGCGGCGAAGCCGAAGGGAAACCGAGUCUUAAAAGGGCGACAAGUCGGGUGCGGUAGACGCGAAACCACGUGAACUACGCAUGGCCAGGAUGAAGUUGGGGUAAUACCCAAUGGAAGACCGAACUCACUAGUGUUGAAAAACUAGGGGAUGAGCUGUGUGGAGGAUUGAAAGUAUCAUCAAACGUGGAGAUAGCUCGUUCUCUCCGAAAUAACUUUAGGGUUAACGUC